rnacentral:lncRNA from 10 species
CUCAAAGAUAUCAAAACCAACAUUUCUGAAAUCCCCUUGGUCUCCCCACUAUCCUCAGUUACAAGCAUCAUGUUCACAUUUCAGGAAGAGGACAGAGGAAGGAAGUGGUGCUAAUGAUACUAAUUCAACCCUUGUGCCUGGGCAAGAGCUUUCCCAGAAGCCACCAAAAAAGAUUUGUGUUCCUGUACCAAGAUAUCUAUCACAGGACAGGUCUCCAUUGCAAGAAAAUCUGACAGAAUAAGAAACAAUCUCAGGAUAAUGCAGUGCUAGCCCACUAACAAGGGAUGGAUUCGAAAAUUAAUCCCUGGUCUACAUAUACCAAAGUCAAAACUCUUCUCAUAACACAUGACCACCCCCAUGCGGAGAUGGAUUGCUACACACCAGGGAAACAAACACAGUGCCCUCAAUGGAAUAACAGCUUAAUAAAUAUUUGCUGAAUAAAAGAAUAAAGAAGUUUCCUAAAAAUAUAAUCCCUACAUGAACAUUGUUUUAUAUUUUGUUUCUUGUUGGUGAUAUUUUUCCACCUUUAGUUAUAUCUCUAUAUGGCUGUGGAACAUAGAAAUGUAUUCAAUAAUUGGAAAUCACACUUUCUCAUACAUGGGAAAUUUUAGGCAAUAUGCUAAAUAAACAAUUUUAAC